CUACGGGACGCACCAGUGGGGAAUAUUGCACAAUGGGCGCAAGCCUGAUGCAGCCAUGCCGCGUGUAUGAAGAAGGCCUUCGGGUUGUAAAGUACUUUCAGCGGGGAGGAAGGGAGUAAAGUUAAUACCUUUGCUCAUUGACGUUACCCGCAGAAGAAGCACCGGCUAACUCCGUGCCAGCAGCCGCGGUAAUACGGAGGGUGCAAGCGUUAAUCGGAAUUACUGGGCGUAAAGCGCACGCAGGCGGUUUGUUAAGUCAGAUGUGAAAUCCCCGGGCUCAACCUGGGAACUGCAUCUGAUACUGGCAAGCUUGAGUCUCGUAGAGGGGGGUAGAAUUCCAGGUGUAGCGGUGAGAUGCGUAGAGAUCUGGAGGAAUACCGGUGGCGAAGGCGGCCCCCUGGACGAAGACUGACGCUCAGGUGCGAAAGCGUGGGGAGCAAACGGGAUUAGAUACCCCUGUAGUC
rnacentral:rRNA from 1 species